CAUCGUUGUGCUGCCAGCAAGGAGCAUCAUGAGUCACUCACAUUUUUAUUAUGGUGUUGUAAGACAAACACGUCUCUCUGCAGUUUAGGCAAUGCUGUAUUGGAUGAGCAAACUUCUGGAACAUGUUGAUGAUGAAAUGCAAGAGAAGAUGGCGUUGAGCUGGAAGAGUGCGAUGGAACUUAAGAUAUUUGGACAGACCCAGCCACAGGAGAUGAAGCUUAAUUUCCCAUGUGUACGUAUAUACUUUCCUUCUUAUGGGUCACUUCAGCAGAACUUCAUACCAUAUGUAGUAUGUAUAGAAGUACACAGUGACAAACCUUUCCAUGCUGGAAACAACUUGAUACACUGAAG
rnacentral:lncRNA from 1 species